rnacentral:rRNA from 1 species
AACGAACGCUGGCGGCAGGCUUAACACAUGCAAGUCGAGCGCCCCGCAAGGGGAGCGGCAGACGGGUGAGUAACGCGUGGGAAUCUACCCACCUCUACGGAAUAACGCAUGGAAACGUGUGCUAAUACCGUAUACGUCCUUCGGGAGAAAGAUUUAUCGGAGAUGGAUGAGCCCGCGUUGGAUUAGCUAGUUGGGGGGGUAAAGGCCUACCAAGGCGACGACCCAUAGCUGGUCUGAGAGGAUGAUCAGCCACACUGGGACUGGGACACGGCCCAGACUCCUACGGGAGGCAGCAGUGGGGAAUAUUGGACAAUGGGCGCAAGCUUGAUCCAGCCAUGCCGCGUGGGUGAUGAAGGCCCUAGGGUUGUGAAGCUCUUUCACCGGUGAAGAUAAUGACGGUAACCGGAGAAGAAGCCCCGGCUAACUUCGUGCCAGCCGCCGCCGUAAGAC